UACGUAGGCAGCAAGCGUUGCUCGGAGUUACUGGGCGUAAAGGGUGCGUAGGCGGCUUCUUAAGUCUGGUGUGAAAUCUCCCGGCUCAACUGGGAGGGUGCGCCGGAUACUGAGGGGCUAGAGUGUGGGAGAGGAAAGUGGAAUUCCUGGUGUAGCGGUGAAAUGCGUAGAUAUCAGGAGGAACACCGGUGGUGUAAACGGCUUUCUGGACCAUAACUGACGCUGAGGCACGAAAGCGUGGGUAGCAAACAGG
rnacentral:rRNA from 1 species